rnacentral:rRNA from 1 species
CCUACGGGAGGCAGCAGUGGGGAAUAUUGCACAAUGGGGGAAACUCUGAUGCAGCGACGCCGCGUGAGUGAAGAAGUAAUUCGUUACGUUAAGCUCUAUCAGCAGGGAAGAAAAUGACGGUACCUGAGUAAGAAGCCCCGGCUAACUACGUGCCAGCAGCCGUGGUAAUACGUAGGGGGCAAGCGUUAUCCGGAUUUACUGGGCGUAAAGGGAGCGUAGACGGUUCGACAAGUCAGUAGUGAAAUGCCGCGGCUUAACUGCGGAACUGCUUUGGAAACUGGCGAACUAGAGUGUGGGAGGGGGAGGCGGAAUGCAUGGUGUAGCGGUGAAAUGCGUAGAUAUUAGAAAGAACACCGGUGGCGAAGGCAGCUUACUGGACCGUAACUGACGUUGAGGCUCGAAAGCGUGGGGAGCAAACAGGAUUAGAUACCCCUGUAGUC